rnacentral:rRNA from 1 species
CCUACGGGUGACAGCAGUGGGGAAUAUUGGGCAAUGGACGCAAGUCUGACCCAGCAACGCCGCGUGAAGGAAGAAGGCUUUCGGGUUGUAAACUUCUUUUAGGGGGGAAGAGCGGAAGACGGUACCCCUUGAAUAAAGCACGGCUAACUACGGUCCAGCAGCCGCGGUAAUUCGUAGGUGGCAAGCGUUGUCCGGAUUUACUGGGUGUAAAGGGCGUGCAGCCGGGAAGGCAAGUCAGAUGUGAAAUCCCGCGGCUCAACCGCGGAACUGCAUUUGAAACUGUUUUUCUUGAGUGUCGGAGAGGUAAUCGGAAUUCCUAGUGUAGCGGUGAAAUGCGUAGAUAUUAGGAGGAACACCAGUGGCGAAGGCGGAUUACUGGACGACAACUGACGGUGAGGCGCGAAAGCGUGGGGAGCAAACAGGAUUAGAUACCCUUGUAGUC